AUUGAACGCUGGCGGCAUGCCUUACACAUGCAAGUCGAACGGCAGCACGGGAGCAAUCCUGGUGGCGAGUGGCGAACGGGUGAGUAAUAUAUCGGAACGUGCCCAGUCGUGGGGGAUAACGCAGCGAAAGCUGUGCUAAUACCGCAUACGAUCUCUGGAUGAAAGCGGGGGACCGUAAGGCCUCGCGCGAUUGGAGCGGCCGAUAUCAGAUUAGCUAGUUGGUGGGGUAAAGGCCCACCAAGGCGACGAUCUGUAGCUGGUCUGAGAGGAGGACCAGCCACACUGGAACUGAGACACGGUCCAGACUCCUACGGGAGGCAGCAGUGGGGCAUUUUGGACAAUGGGCGCAAGCCUGAUCCAGCAAUGCCGCGUGCAGGAUGAAGGCCUUCGGGUUGUAAACUGCUUUUGUACGGAACGAAACGGCGAGCUCUAAUAAAGUUUGCUAAUGACGGUACCGUAAGAAUAAGCACCGGCUAACUACGUGCCAGCCGCCGCGGUAA
rnacentral:rRNA from 1 species